GACAGAGGGUGCAAACGUUGUUCGGAAUUACUGGGCGUAAAGCGUGUGUAGGCGGCCACGUAAGCCGGAUGUGAAAGCCCCGGGCUCAACCCGGGAAGUGCACUCGAUACUGCGUGGCUUGAGUACUGGAGAGGUUGGUGGAAUUCUCGGUGUAGAGGUGAAAUUCGUAGAUAUCGAGAGGAACACCGGUGGCGAAGGCGGCCAACUGGACAGAUACUGACGCUGAGACACGAAAGCGUGGGGAGCAAACAGG
rnacentral:rRNA from 1 species